rnacentral:rRNA from 1 species
GACAGAGGGUGCAAACGUUGUUCGGAAUUACUGGGCGUAAAGCGCGUGUAGGCUGCUUCAAAAGUCGGGUGUGAAAGCCCUGGGCUCAACCUAGGAAGUGCACUCGAAACUGCGGAGCUUGAGUCCUGGAGAGGAAGGCGGAAUUCUCGGUGUAGAGGUGAAAUUCGUAGAUAUCGAGAGGAACACCGGUGGCGAAGGCGAUGGCCUGGACCUCGAGCUGACGCUGAGGCGCGAAAGCGUGGGGAGCGAUCCGG